rnacentral:rRNA from 1 species
CCUACGGGAGGCAGCAGUGAGGAAUAUUGGUCAAUGGGCGCGAGCCUGAACCAGCCACGCCGCGUGAGGGAAGAAGGUCCUCUGGUUGGAAAACCUCUUUUGUCGGGGAGCAAAAGACGCAACGCGUGGCGUUCCGAGAGUACCCGAAGAAAAAGCAUCGGCUAACUCCGUGCCAGCAGCCGCGGUAAUACGGGGGAUGCGAGCGUUAUCCGGUUUUAUUGGGUUGAAAGGGUGCUGAGGCGGAAGAUCAAGUCAGCGGUAAAAUUGAGGGGCUCAACCUCUUCGAGCCGUUGAAACUGGUUUUCUUGAGUGAGCGAGAAGUAUGCGGAAUGCGUGGUGUAGCGGUGAAAUGCAUAGAUAUCACGCAGAACACCGAUUGCGAAGGCAGCAUACCGGCGCUCAACUGACGCUCAUGCACGAAAGUGUGGGUAGCGAACAGGAUUAGAUACCCUAGUAGUC